GUUGGGAGUUGUCCUCCAAAGGAAGGUUAGUUUGAGUCUGCAGGAUGGAUAAACAUCUAACAGUCCGGUUUCCAGUAUUUAGGAAGAGAGCAGGUAAAUCCAAUACACGGUCCGUGGUCAGAGGGAGAUGAGAAGGCAGAAAUCCGUUUAAACAGUUCAAGGUUCGGUACACAGUAUUAACGGAGAAGAGCUUAGCCGGCAAUGUGAUUGCGGAAGUAACAACCAGAAAUCACUAAGCAAUUUUGAAUCUGGCGCGGUCUCUCUAUAAAGCUUGAGAGAGCCGCAUCAGAGGGGGGGGACGGUUCCGCAUACCAGAAAUGCCGGAACGGAGCCGAAAAGAUAAGUCCUGACACUGGGGUACCCCACAAGAUUUUGGGCAGGCUCAGCGGGAAGACC